AAUCUCUCCCUCUGAGCCCUUCCUAAUCCCUCUCUGUCUCCAAUACACUCGGAGAAAAUGCAAUGAAGGACCCUAACCCGAUCACUCAUGUCCGACUCAGCUCCUCCGCAAGAUCCGCCGACGACGUCGUCGUGGUUGCCAACCGCGACCCCUCCUUCCUCACGAGCCAAGCUCCGCAAGAUCCCUCAGAUCCCAAUCCACCGGUCCCCGAAGCAUGACUACGCAACGCGAAGCGACGACGAAGAAGACGAAGAAGAAGGCGAAGACGAUGUUUCACACACCGAGGAUGCCGAUUCUCCGAUGCUUGUCGCGUCGAAGCUGGGGCUCAACCACAUUCGCACCCGCUCCGCUCCUUCGCCGCUCCGGUUCUCGUCGUUGGCCGGUACACUUUCGAAUUUGGGGGACGAUUCCAACAGGACUAAGGCCACGGUCCCGGCUGAGACCAAAUUGGCCUAUUCGUAUCAGCCAGACACGUUAAUAGAACAAGGGAAAAAGGUUCAAUGGAGUCCGUCGAGAUCAGUGAAAGCCCCAUCGCCACUCAAUCUGGGGUUGGAGGCUAAUCAUGCAGCCUUUGUCAAGGAAAUCCAAUCGCCGCGUUUCCAGGCAAUACUGCGUGUCACGAGUGGGCGUAAGAAGAGAAACCCUGAGAUCAAGAGCUUCUCUCACGAACUCAACUCCAAAGGAGUUCGACCAUUUCCGGUUUGGAAGUCUCGUGCAUUUGGGCACAUGGAGGAGAUUAUGGUGGCAAUAAGGACAAAAUUUGACAGGUUAAAGGAAGAAGUUAACUAUGAUUUAGGUGCAUAUGCUGGAGAUUUGGUGGGUAUACUUGAGAAGACUUCAGACUCUCACUCUAAAUGGAAAGAGGGUGUGGAGGAUUUGUUGCUGGUUGCAAGGCGCUGCGCAAUGAUGCCGUCUAGUGAGUUUUGGGUGAAGUGUGAAGGCAUUGUUCAGAAUUUGGAUGACCGGCGUCAAGAGCUACCAAUGGGGGUCCUCAAACAAGCCCAUACCCGCCUUCUUUUUAUCCUCACUCGGUGCACCCGACUUGUGCAGUUCCAGAAAGAGAGUGGUUAUGAAGAAGACCACAUACUGGGACUUCACCAACUCAGUGAUCUUGGGGUUUAUUCGGAACAAGUUUUGCAGGCUACACGGCAGGAAUUCAGUGGGCCAUUGAGUGGGAAGGAGGUGAAUAAGAAGCAGAUGAAAAAGUCACAUGGGCAGGAAAAGGGCAGUCAGAUUAAGAAGCAUGGUCAAGUAGAUCAAGAUCCCAGUAGUGGAGCUGAUGGUGUGGAAAUUGGCACUGCCAGAAGUGCUGAUUCAUCUUCAAGCAGCUAUAGGAUGUCAUCUUGGAAGAAACUUCCAGGUGCUGCUGAGAAAAACCGGAAAAUUCAUUAUGCUGUUGAUGCUCCCUCCAAGGAUAAACCGGAAAAGUUGCAACAUAAAGAUGAAAGAAAAACUGGGGGUGAUGACACCAUUGAAAAUCUGGACAGUCCAUUAUGCCGCCCUGAACAUUCAGAGGCUUCUUCAGGGUUACAAAGAGUUGGACUCUGGGAUCAGCAGAAUGUUACGUAUGAGAGUUUGAUGAUCUGUCGUAUUUGUGAGGUCGAGAUACCAACUGUGCAUGUAGAAGAGCACUCUCAAAUAUGUACAAUUGCCGAUAGAUGUGACUUGAAAGGCUUAACUGUUAAUGCACGGCUUGAAAGAGUUGCCGAAAGUCUUGAAAGGAUCCUGGAAUCUUGGACUCCAAGGAGUACGCCUGGAAGCACCGAUACUCCUAGAGGAAGUUUCGAGGUUGCUAGAGUGUCUACAUCUAGUAUACAUGAGUUAGAUGACAUGUCACCUAAGCAAAACAGCUUGUCUCAUCGAUGCUCUGAAGAAGUUCUUGAUUGUGCUGCUGAUAUAGAUAAUAAUUUUGUCAUGGAUGCUCUAAAUGUUUUGCCCGAAAUGUCAUUUGAAACUGUGAGACCUGAUCGAUGCGCAAGAGCCUUGUCAGCAGGAAGCUUGACACCUCGAUCAACAUUAUUAACACCACGGACCAACCAGAUUGAAUUGCUUUUGAGUGGACGGAGAAUGCUAGCAGAGCUUGAGAAUUAUCAGCAGAUAAACAAGUUGCUGGAUAUUGCUCGUUCUGUUGCAAAUGUAAACAACUGUGAGUACAGUGCAUUGGAGUAUAUGAUUGACCGUCUGGAAGAACUCAAAUAUGCCAUCCAGGACAGAAAGGUGGAUGCCCUUGUCGUAGAGACUUUUGGAAGACGUAUAGAGAAACUAUUGCAGGAGAAGUAUGUACAUCUUUGUGGGCAGAUAGAAGAUGAAAAAGUAGAUUCAAAUGGCAUAGUUGAUGAAGAGAGUAUGAUGGAAGAUGAUACAGUCCGAAGUCUGCGUGCAAGCCCCAUCGAUCCAUGUUCUAAGGACCGGACAUCAAUAGAAGAUUUUGAGAUAAUGAAACCAAUUAGUAGAGGGGCAUUUGGGCGAGUGUUUCUUGCAAGGAAAAGAGCAACUGGUGAUUUAUUUGCUAUAAAGGUUUUAAAGAAAGAUGAUAUGAUCCGUAAAAAUGCGGUUGAAAAUAUUUUGGCGGAGCGUGACAUCCUUAUAUCACUUCGCAAUCCUUUUGUGGUCCGAUUUUUCUACUCCUUCACAUGCAGGGAAAAUCUUUAUUUGGUCAUGGAGUAUUUAAACGGCGGAGAUCUUUACUCUUUGUUGAGAAAUCUAGGCUGCUUGGAUGAAGACAUGGCCCGUAUAUAUAUUGCAGAAGUUGUUCUUGCUUUGGAGUAUUUGCAUUCUUUAAAUGUCAUUCAUAGAGAUUUGAAGCCUGACAACUUGUUGAUUGGUCAAGAUGGUCACAUCAAGUUGACAGAUUUUGGGCUUUCAAAGGUUGGUCUCAUUAACAGUACAGAUGACUUAUCAGGUCUAUCAGUCAGCAGUACUGAUUUCCUUGGUGAUGAACCAAAAAGUCAGCCUUCAAUGAAAAGAGAACAGCGCCAAAAGCAACCAGUUGUAGGCACGCCUGAUUAUUUGGCACCCGAGAUACUUCUUGGCAUGGGACAUGGUGCAACUGCAGAUUGGUGGUCUGUGGGUGUUAUUCUAUUUGAGCUGCUUGUAGGUAUUCCACCAUUCAAUGCUGAACAUCCUCAGCAAGUUUUUGACAACAUAAUAAACAGAGAUAUACCUUGGCCAAAGGUACCUGAGGAGAUGAGCUCCGAAGCAUAUGAUUUGGUUGACAAAUUUCUGACUGAAAAUCCAGUACAAAGACUAGGUGCAACAGGAGCCAGGGAGGUGAAGCAACAUCCUUUCUUCAAGGAUAUUAAUUGGGAUACACUUGCAAGGCAAAAGGCUAUGUUCAUACCAGCAGCAGAAGCACAUGAUACAAGUUAUUUUAUGAGCCGGUACAUAUGGAAUGUAGAAGAUGACCAUGUGGUGGGGGGUAGUAGUGACUUUGAGGACAUAACUGAAACAUGCAGCAGCAGAUCAUGCAGCAACGAGCACGAUGAAGAUGGUGAUGAAUGUGGUAGUUUGGCAGACUUCCAUUGUCCAGCCCUUGCAGUGAAGUACUCGUUUAGUAAUUUCUCAUUUAAGAACUUGUCUCAGCUGGCUUCUAUCAAUUUUGAUCUAGUUGUGAAGAGCAGCAAGGAAUCACCAGAAGCCUCAAAACCAUCCAUUCCAUGACAAUUUUACAUGGUUACUUUAGCAAACUUUUAUUCUCAUCUAUCACCUAGCAAUUCAUCCUUUUGCUCUCAGCUUAGCACUUGCCUUUGGCUCAAUCAGUGCAUACGCAGUUUUUCGACGAGGAAGGUCUUCAACCUGAACAGUUAUAAACAAAGGCUCAUCUGGUCUGAUAUGGCUUUUAUUUCUAGAAAAGCAGUUAUUUUUCUUGAAGGAAAAGAUAGGUGUAUGUCGCCGUACAUACUGACCAACUUAUUAUUAGAUAGUAGCCGGAAUAAUUACGAUGUAAUUAAGCAGAAGUAUCGUGGAAAUCCUUGGUGAUCAGUGGAUUGAGGGGCACUGGGCUCGCCAUGGGUACUACUGGACUAAAGCGACAACUCUUUUGCAGAGUUCUUUCCCUAGGAAAACAUUUUUACAAGAAGUUUUACAUGCAAUGCUUCUUCCAAGGAAUAUGCUUUCAGAAGUACUGCACGAGUUUGUAGUUUAUGAAACAUAACCCAUUGAGAAUCCGAAACCAAACACCAAUGUGAUUUGGCAUUUUACUUUCCUUUUUAUUCUGCGGACUAAGAACCAAAAUUAUGGAUUGAAAAAAGAAAAAGAUCGAAAAAGAA